GUUUUUAUAACGUUUAUCCUGCAAAACCUUCUUUAUGGCGACCGUUUCUCCUGUUUCCAAGCAUUUUGCCUGGAAUACAAUUCCAAAUGAACCACUACCCACCACACGCUCAGCCAUGUAACUGAUUGUCUGUUUUGGUUCACCAUUUUUGCCACCGAUUGUAGUGGAGAUGAUAUGACCAGUUACUGCAUCACUCCCUUCAAUGACUGCAGCUGACAUUUCCUUAUCGGUG
rnacentral:misc_RNA from 1 species